rnacentral:rRNA from 1 species
UACGGAGGGUGCAAGCGUUAUCCGGAUUCACUGGGUUUAAAGGGUGCGUAGGCGGGUAUAUAAGUCAGUGGUGAAAGCUCCGGGCUUAACUUGGAACUGCCAUUGAUACUGUAUAUCUUGAAUGUCGUUGAGGUUAGCGGAAUGUUGCAUGUAGCGGUGAAAUGCUUAGAUAUGUUACAGAACACCAAUUGUGAAGACAGCUAACUAAGCGAUGAUUGACGCUGAGGCACGAAAGCGUGGGGAGCAAACAGG